AUUGAACGCUGGCGGCAGGCUUAACACAUGCAAGUCGAGCGGGGUGAUGGUGCUUGCACUAUCACUUAGCGGCGGACGGGUGAGUAAUGCUUAGGAAUCUGCCUAUUAGUGGGGGACAACGUCUCGAAAGGGAUGCUAAUACCGCAUACGUCCUACGGGAGAAAGCAGGGGAUCACUUGUGACCUUGCGCUAAUAGAUGAGCCUAAGUCGGAUUAGCUAGUUGGUGGGGUAAAGGCCUACCAAGGCGACGAUCUGUAGCGGGUCUGAGAGGAUUAUCCGCCACACUGGGACUGGAACACGGCCCAGACUCCGACGGGAGGCAGCAGUGGGGAAUAUUGGACAAUGGGGGGAACCCUGAUCCAGCCAUGCCGCGUGUGUGAAGAAGGCCUUAUGGUUGUAAAGCACUUUAAGCGAGGAGGAGGCUCUUUUGGUUAAUACCCAAGAUGAGUGGACGUUACUCGCAGAAUAAGCACCGGCUAACUCUGUGCCAGCCGCCGCCGUAA
rnacentral:rRNA from 1 species